rnacentral:rRNA from 1 species
GAUGAACGCUGGCGGCGUGCCUAAUACAUGCAAGUCGAGCGAACGGACGAGAAGCUUGCUUUUCUGAUGUUAGCGGCGGACGGGUGAGUAACACGUGGAUAACCUACCUAUAAGACUGGGAUAACUUCGGGAAACCGGAGCUAAUACCGGAUAAUAUUUUGAACCGCAUGGUUCAAAAGUGAAAGACGGUCUUUCUGUCACUUAUAGAUGGAUCCGCGCUGCAUUAGCUAGUUGGUAAGGUAACGGCUUACCAAGGCAACGAUGCAUAGCCGACCUGAGAGGGUGAUCGGCGACACUGGAACUGAGACACGGUACAGACACCUACGGGAGGCAGAAGUAGGGACUCGUCGGAAAUGGGCGAAAGCCUGACGGAGCAACGCCGCGUGAGUGAUGAGGGUCUUCGGAUCGUAAAACUCUGUUAUUAGGGAAGAACAUAUGUGUAAGUAAAUGUGCAAAAAUUGACGGUACCUAAUCAGAAAGCGACGGCUAACUACGUG